rnacentral:antisense_RNA from 1 species
GAUACCAGAGUAUAUCUAUAAUAUAGACUAUAUCUGUAAUAUAGACUAUAAAGAUGCAGCUCUUAAAAGUUAAUUUAAUAUUAAAGAAACAAAAUUUUUAGUAUUGGUAGGCGCGAUCGGACUCGAACCAACGACCCCCACCA